rnacentral:rRNA from 1 species
AGUGAACGCUGGCGGUAGGCCUAACACAUGCAAGUCGAACGGCAGCACAGAGGAGCUUGCUCCUUGGGUGGCGAGUGGCGGACGGGUGGGGAAUACAUCGGAAUCUACCCUGUCGUGGGGGAUAACGUAGGGAAACUUACGCUAAUACCGCAUACGACCUACGGGUGAAAGCAGGGGACCUUCGGGCCUUGCGCGAUUGAAUGAGCCGAUGUCGGAUUAGCUAGUUGGCGGGGUAAAGGCCCACCAAGGCGACGAUCCGUAGCUGGUCUGAGGGGAUGAUCAGCCACACUGGAACUGAGACACGGUCCAGACUCCUACGGGAGGCAGCAGUGGGGAAUAUUGGACAAUGGGCGCAAGCCUGAUCCAGCCAUACCGCGUGGGUGAAGAAGGCCUUCGGGUUGUAAAGCCCUUUUGUUGGGAAAGAAAUCCAGCUGGCUAAUACCCGGUUGGGAUGACGGUACCCAAAGAAUAAGCACCGGCUAACUUCGUGCCAGCCGCCGCGGUAA